rnacentral:rRNA from 1 species
AUUGAACGCUGGCGGCAGGCUUAACACAUGCAAGUCGAGCGGGGGAAGGUAGCUUGCUACCGGACCUAGCGGCGGACGGGUGAGUAAUGCUUAGGAAUCUGCCUAUUAGUGGGGGACAACAUCUCGAGAGGGAUGCUAAUACCGCAUACGUCCUACGAGAGAAAGCAGGGGAUCUUCGGACCUUGCGCUAAUAGAUGAGCCUAAGUCGGAUUAGCUAGUUGGUGGGGUAAAGGCCUACCAAGGCGACGAUCUGUAGCGGGUCUGAGAGGAUGAUCCGCCACACUGGGACUGAGACACGGCCCAGACUCCUACGGGAGGCAGCAGUGGGGAAUAUUGGACAAUGGGGGGAACCCUGAUCCAGCCAUGCCGCGUGUGUGAAGAAGGCCUUAUGGUUGUAAAGCACUUUAAGCGAGGAGGAGGCUACUUUAGUUAAUACCUAGAGAUAGUGGACGUUACUCGCAGAAUAAGCACCGGCUAACUCUGUGCCAGCCGCCGCCGUAA